rnacentral:tRNA from 1 species
GGAGCUGUGCCUGAAGGUUAUAGGGCCACUUUGAUAGAGUGACUAACGAGGGUUAAAAUCCCCCCAGCUCCU